GUGCUCACUUUGGCAGCACAUAUGUUAAAAUUGGAACCAUACAGAGAAGACUAGCAUGACCCCUGUGCAAGGAUGAUGUGCAAAUUCGUGAAGUGUUCCAUUUUUUU